AUAAAAAUUUAUAGUGUAAAAAUUAACAAAAUAAUAAGUUAAUAUAAAAAUUUCUAGUGUCUUUUUAUGUUAAUGAAAUUAUAUAUGUAUAUUUAUAUAUAUAUAACAUAAUAAUUUUUUUUUCUUUUGAAAUUGAUAAUUUUAAUUAUUAAUCUUAUCAAAUACAUUUUUUAAAAAUAUGUGAUGAAAUUAUAUUAACGAACUAUUAAUAUUUUUUUACCAAUACGUUAUAAUUUCAUUGGGUUAGAACGAAUAAUUUGCCUCCAUUUUAGACUAUUGCUCGUUUAACGUUAAUAUGAAAGUUUGUGUAUGGAGAAGUUUCAAAACUCAACGUAAAGAAAACAAACUGUUAGAGGGCAAUUUUAUGUUUAUUAAAAGUUGAUCAACAACACAUUAUUUAAGACUUUAAAUACUCCAGCCAUCCUUAUUUAUGUAAGUCUUGUUUAAAAGUGGAGCUUAAUGCAAUAUACUAUAUGAUGCAGAAAGAGCCUAUUUUGUCUCAUGGCCGCUAUUACACCCCCCACCACAACCACCUCUACAGCUCCCUCCCCCACAGCCACCACCACCACAACCACCCCCACAGCUCCCUCCCCCACAACGACCACCGCAGCCUCCGCACGUGGUGCUCUUCAUUAUAUCUCCUACUUUGCAUUCAGCAUUGGAUGUGUUAUACUCGGUUCCACCAAUUGCAUGCACAGCAUAACAGUUUUCGCACCCAGUAGUCUCCCAAUCAAAGUCACUCUCCAUUUUUGAGAUCAUUGCUUGCUUUAAGGCAUCAUCCAAUUCUCUAGGACUCUCCCUGUUGGCACUGAGAUUGAAAUCACCUUCCUUCCUCAAAGUAUUAGCAAGUAAAAAGGCCAACAGUAUCCCAGGAAAUACUAGCCAUUCUUCAUUGAUCUGUUAGAAUAAAGCACAAAAAUGAUGAGCCUGUGACUUUCUAAAACUGUGUUCUUGACAAAAACUAUACCUGCACAAAGCCAGACUUCAAAUUGAAUAAUGCCACAGCUCUUCCAUAAGGAUGUUUUGCAGAGAAUUCAACUGCUGUCAUCAUGUUCUCUGCCCUUUUAUGCUUCUCACAGCUUCCAUUUUCAUACUCCAAUUUUCUACCAGGUAAAAUAACCACCUGGAAAAGAAAAGCAUAUUAAAAUCAUUAUGCUGCACGCUGGAUAGAAAUUUUAAGAUAGAAUUGCUUUAUUCCAAUAUAUUUUUCCAACGAAGGUUCCAUGUCUGAACUUGUUAGCAUUCAUCCAAGCACCAGUUACUAAGGCCGAUUGACAUAGAUCUUCACCUUUUGGCGACCUGUAAGCUCAAAGAUCUGACCAACAUUAUUGAGUUUAUUCUGAAGCUGAAACCGCCAGGUAGAGUUUAGCAGAGACCAUCCUGCUCCAAGAAACUCUGCAAGUAUAGGAGUUUCACCAGAAGUAGUCAUGCCAACAGCUUCCUUUUUGAAAAGGUAGCCAUAUUUUGCCUCCACUUUCAUUGAAUCCCUGAUAAUUAUUCAAAUGUUGGUUAACUCAGUCCAGCAAAUGUCUCAUCAGAUGCAGAAUUCCAUGCAGCAAUGAGAUGCAAAGGGAGAAAUUUAAUAAAAAUGACAGAUUAAAGCAAGAAUGUUAGGGAGCUCAGUGAUAGUAAGAUCAACAACUGGUCACUAUUACUUCUCUCUUGGUAUGAGUUGUGAGGCACCUGUCUCAACAUUGAGACAAGCUAUGCUGUUCAUCAAAAGAGCUGUGUAUUAUUUUCAGUACAGAAUUGACAAGAAGCUACCCGAAAGGCAAAAUGUUUUCUAUGAAUCAAAAUUGCAGUCUGAAUUAAUUUUAUGCACCUCAUUUGAAGGGACAUGAUCUCAUUGCCAGCGUCGUCCACUAUGCAUGUCCACCCUUUACCCUGUCGAUGUGCCUUAACUAGGUGCAGCAUGAAUGGUGCUUGGACUGGCGGAGUAAAAGACAGUGCAAUGCGUAGAUUGAUAGGCUGAGAACUCAAAGUUCCAGAAUUUGGAAACAACUCAAUCCACCUUUCAUAUGACAGUGAAGAAUCUGGUUUCAUAAGGUCCUGUAAAGAGAUUGAUGCUGUGCCCAAUACUCUGCCAGGCCUUGCAAGAUAACGAACUGAAGAUGAAUUUGUCAUAAGUUGACAGACAAGUUCUCCUUUGGGCUCACUCUGAAAAAUAGCUACUUGUCUCUCCUUUGCCUUGGGAAAGAUGCUUAUGCUUCUGUUGCCUUUAAAAAACAUAUCCGGUUGUUUCAUACUAAAUGUUGCAAAAAGGUUUUCUUCACACCCGACAGGUAAGUUUAUGACAUCCACAAUGUCCAGCAUAACCUGAAAAAGAAAUCAGGAUCUAUAUCAGCCGAAUCCUACAGCUCAAUCAUGGUGGAAAUAUCAUUUCACAUGAGAAAUUGGGUUUGGCUUUUGUUCGUUAUGGGCUUUAUUUAAUUAUUACAAAUGAAGCUCAGAAGAGUAAAUGUAGAAGGGGACAUUUUAAACUACCUCUGUAAACAUUUUCUUGGGAAUUUGAAGCAUACUUUGAUACUUAUUGGAACCAACCACCUUGCUUAAAUUGUCCAGAUGGCUCACAUUGAUUGUGAGAGGUGAUGGAACACUGCCUCUAUACAUAGCUCCUGCUCUCCAGUACCUGGAACCGAAUGUCUCUUCCCACUGUUUGGUGGUCUGUAAACAUCCAGUAUCCAGCUUAUUGCCUUUAGUUCUGUCCGAAUCUGUAUCAUCAUGCUCUAAUACUCUCCCCAGUAUUGCCACCAGAUCUUUGCAAUAAGAAACAGGACGCAGCUGGUGAGAGUGCCAGAUAAGGUCAAUGUCAUAAGUUGGGACACAAAAUUGGCUGAUCGACUUCUCCUGGUUUCUCUUUAUCAAAUGCAGAAAUCCCUUGUAUCUAGCUACAGCUCCUUCAAGAUAGACAUCAUCACUCAUAUGGGAUCUGGACACCUGCCACAAAUAUUGAAGCCAAGGUGGUGGAUUGCUUGCAGCUUGAUACAAAAACUAGACAACCCAACCUACAAUUUUACUUAUUUGGAAGGAAUGCAGCUUUUGGAAACCUGAGCCAAAAUCUAGUUAUGAUAUGGUAGUAGAUUGUUUUGCAUGAGUCAAAUUUCUCCAUUACCUGAUAAUAGAACGAACUCUGCCUUUUGACAGCUGAAACCAGAUCAUAGUUGGUGGAUUUUUGAGCUCCCAGAACAUUGUUGCCGCUAUCUUCUGAUAUUUGUGUGCUCAGAUUCAAUUCAUAAGGUUCACAAGGAUACAUCCUGCUCCAUAUUUCUUCAGUCUGCUUUUUGCAGGAAGCUUGAGUGGAGGAUACAACAUUCUGGCUGCCAAGGAUUCUCCCAUAGAGUUCCUUGCAGUCAUUUUUGUAGCGCACCUAAGCAAUUAUUCCAGAAUUUUAUUUCAGAAUCUCUGUCCAUGUUGACUGAAAAAUGCAUUUCGCAAUAUAUGAUCCAGGGACCUACCGGAUUGAGCUUAUGGCAAUGCCAAACCCAUUCACAAUCAAGUGGCACGACCAAAGGGCCUUCUGAUACCUGAGACUUUGCUUGUUUGGCAAGCAAAGGAAGCCAACAGUAUUUGUACCUGGCAUUGGAUUUGUUAUUUACAAACAAAUACUGUUGAACAUGAUAAAAGAAACCCAUUACAUAAACAAAUUUCAGAAGUUGGUAUAGUGCAUAUAACCUAUGAAUAGCUCGGUUUAAAGCAGAGCCGUCAUAGAGUUGGCGAUGCCUAUCGACCUCAGCAAGAAAUUGUAGCUGCUGUUUAGCUGCAGCUACCAAGUCUUCACUUAUUGCAAUCUUCUGUGCUUCAGCCCACUCUAGUUCCUGCACCUUCUCCAUUCUCUGUGUUAGUUCAAAGCACACAAAAACAACUUCAGGACUUGUAUCUUUGCUUCCUGCCCUCGUCCGUGGAUUUUGGUUGAUAUUUAUAAGCUCAAAGUUCAACUUCUGCACUUGAAAUAUUUGCAAUGCACCGUGGAUAUAUCAUAUAUGUUGUCGUGUGAAAUUCCUACAGUGAAUAAAGUGGGAGCUACAGAAGAAUAAACUGACGACUUCACAGUCACGUCCCGUGCGCGUUCCUUAAUUUGUGGGAACUCUGAACGCGCUGGUUUCAAGGCCCGGGGGUUGCCUGGACGUCUUAGUUUCACUCCAUGAGCUACUUAAUCAUAUGUUUCAACAAUGAUGGCCGACGGGGAUGUAGCUCAGAUGGUAGAGCGCUCGCUUAGCAUGCGAGAGGUACGGGGAUCGAUACCCCGCAUCUCCAUUUUUUUUCUUAUCUUCGACAUAAAACUCAAGUGCCCAUUAACUCGGCGUCUACCUGUUUGGUUACCUAAUCCAUACUUGUAAUCCAUCUUCGGCCCAAGACAAACGUCUUCUUUUCUUGCAUGAGCAUCAAAUCUAUUUACCACAUACAGCAAACUUUCUCGUGAGCGACAUGUCUCGAUUUUGAAAAAGAAAAUGUAAAUAUAUAUAUAUAUUUUUGAAAUGGAAUGUAAAUAUAUUUUUAAAAUUUUAAAUUAUUUAUUAAUUAAUAUUUUUAUUAAAAUUAAUAAUUAAAUAUUUUACUAUUUAAUUUAUACAGUUUUAAAAAAUUUAUUAAUUAAUUUUUUUAAUUUAAUAAAAAGCCUACUAAUUACUCUUUACAUAUUAAGAAUAUUUAAAAUUUUAAAAAUAUUUAAUAUUAAAAUUAAUUAAAAAAUUAAUUGAUAAAUUUUUAAAAAUAUUAAAAAUAUUUUAAUAUAUUUUUUAAAAUUAAUUAACUAAUUAAUUAGUUUUUUUAUAACAUAAAAACCAAAUAAUAUGAUAGCAAUUACAUAUAAAUCACAUAAAUUUUUGAAAAAAAAAAAGAAGCAAGUUAUCACAUAUAAUAUUUUCAUUAAAACAUAUAUAUACAUUGGACUAAUUUGGAUUCGAGUCGCUAUAAAAUCUAAAUAGAGAGAUUUAUUAGAAUAGAAGUUUUUUAUCCAAAAAUUAAACUCUCAGAUUUUUUUUGAAAAGAGGUAUUUUAUUUCUUUCAUUAGAUCCAACUUGAGAAAUAUAUAUAUAUAUACACCGCUAAUUCAAUUUUUAAAAAAUAAUCAUGAAUUUGAAAAGACAAUGUCAGAAGAACUUAUUUGUGAGGUAGAAAUCAAAUUUACCAUGUCAACAACGGGUUACCUGUCAUUGCCUUUUCUUUAAAAAAAAAAAUAAUUCAACAUCCUGCCGCUCAUUUGACAGGUAGUAGGCUAUCAAAAUAAAGCAUGUCUCAAUAGACUUUCAAAAUCUUCCAUAUGACAUCCAAGUAGCUAAUUUUAACUUAUCUAGAGAUCUUUAGAACUAAUCCUAAUUGGAGUUUGAAUGGAUUGAUACAAAGGGUUAGAUAGGAAUACAGUAUGAAUAGGGUGAAUUAUUAUAAAGUUGUUUAGUUUUUAGGAACUAUACUGGCCUAUUACUAUUUCAAAGGAUAAGAAUACCAGUGAAUGUCAAAGGAGAUUAGGAGGACAAAUCCUGGAAGUACUAUACUAUUUAGGGAGGAUAAGAGUUAGCUUUAUUUUUGUUAGAUGACCUCCAUGAAUUGCAUUUUAUUUUUUUGCUUAGUUCAACAUUAAAACAAUUCUAAAGAAUAUUUGUUCAUGAUUGAAGUAAUAUACUGUAAAUUGUUUAUCAAUAUCAAUAUAUUUUUAAUGUUUUCAAUUUCAAUGUUCAAGUAUUAUUCCUCUUAUUUUCUAUGCCAAUCAAUCUUCAAUCACUUGAAAUUGAUAACAGAAAAUUAGAACACGAAAUUAAUUUCAUAAAUUUGAGAGGAAAUCAUGAUCUAUUUCAUUAGAGCAGGAAUUUAGUUUCAUUUCAUUAUAACAAGAAAUUGACAAUUAUAUAACCUAUUCAUAAUCCAUAUACUCUAACAAAAUGCCACUCAAACCUAACAACAAUUCCGCAUAACAACCUAUAAAAACAACUACCCCUUCACCCUAGAAGAAUUUCACCAAACUAAAUCUUCAAUUUCUUUGUAUUUUUGUCUUACAACUCUAAUUUCUUUUUCAUAUCUCUCAAUCUUUUUCACAAGUCCUGAUGUAAUCUAUGAUGUUCUACUAGGGAAUAGCUGAUCAAACCACUGGAAAAAAUCACAGUGAUCACUCCUCUGCAUAAACCUAAGGAUAGCUCAAAUCAACACAAAAACUAAUGAUGAAACCUUUACAACAAAUAUGUCUGAAAAUCAAAGCACAUACUCCAUAAUUUUUACACCCAUAAAAUUGCUUGCCAGGAUUAUAGCUUAUCCAUGAGGUAUGCAGCUCUGCCUCAAGGUUGCUAUGUGCAUCUUUCCCCUUGCAUUCCUUCUCUUCUUCAAGAACUCCCAUGAUAAUUAUAUGAGAAUCCUUCAUUCAUCAUACACUAAUUUAACAUAUUUAUACUGUAAGAUUUAAAGUUUUCUGUUUUCAUUGAAUUGAGAAGGAAAGUGCUAGGGGAAAAUGAAUAAAAUUAAUUCAACCCGGUCCAUAUACAUUCAGUGGGCAGUGGCACAUUGCACGGUGAGCCCUGGAGAAAGCAUAUCACUUGUAUUCCUACAAGCACUCUUACAUACUGCUUCACCAAUCUCCCUUGUGUUUGGGAAAUUUUUUUAUCCUUUUCUUCUCUUUUCUUUGAGGGAGAGGGGGUGGUGUACAUUAACUCAUCUGACGACACACUUAAAUAAAAAAUUAUAUAUAUAUGUAAUAUCAAAUUUUUAUCACUAAACAACGUACAAACAAACAACCAGGCGAAAUCAUUUUACUAAGGAUGAGCAGCAAGGUAUAGAUGAAAGCAAAAACUUGGAUGAGUGUCUAUAACUAAAACCAGAAGAGAUAGCCCCAGUGAAAGUCAUGUGGCAUGAAGCUAGCUACCAAUAUUAGAACCACAUAGACGAACCUAUCAAAACUGAACAAUUUCGCUCAUUGUGAACGGUUAAAAACUAAGAUCAGGAAGAACUAAGGCAGGACCCUUAUGAAAUCAAUUAUGCCAGAGAAGCACAGGAAACAAUCCAAGGAAUAAGUUACCAGAGACCAGCAUCUGGAAGCAACCCGCUAAAUAGAGAGUAAGCUACAUCCUUACUGCCACCUUUUCAGCCGAACUUUUCUUCACAACUCCUCUUAAGCACAGCUCAUUCAACAACUCUAAAGCCUCCUUUGCUAAACCUUCAUAAGCUAUGCCUUCAAUGAGUAUGGUGUAUGAAACUUCAGUGGGUUUACAUCCCCUUGAUACCAUAUAAGCCAAGAAGUCAAUUGCACGGUCGGUCUGUCGAGCCUUACAAAGUCCCAACAUGACAGCAUUGUAGGUGAUAGCAUUAGGUUUAAUCCCCAGCCCUUCCAAAUCAUGAAAGGAUUUAAUUGCUUCAUCAACCUUUCCUUCUCUGCUUAGCCCGCCAAUAAGUGAAGAGUAAGUGAUUAUAUCAGGCUUGAGAUCCUUUGCUCGCAUCUCUUUCAAUAGUUCCACAGCUUCAUCUGUUUUUCCCACCUUGGAAAGCCCAUCAAUCACAGUGUUGUAAGUGAUCAAAACUGGUGAACAUCCUUUACAACUUAGCUGAUUAAGUAUCUCAACUGCAGCAUCAACCUUCCCAUCUUUGCAUAGUGCUGUGAGAAGAGUGUUGUAUGUCACAAUAUCCGGAUAACAACCCCUAGACACCAUUUUCUCCAGGUACUCAAUUGCCCUUUCCAUCUUCUUUUCUUUGCAAAAACCAUGAAGCAACGGGUUGUAACUUAAGGAAUUUGGAGUGCAUCCAUGCCUAGGCAUCUUCUCCAGUAUGUCAAUUGCUCGACCUAAUAAGCCCUUACGGCACAAGAAAUUAAUCAAUAUGUUGAAAGUAACAACACUAGGAGAACAACCUUUCCGAACCAUUUCAGCCAGUAGCCUCUCAGCAUCCAUCCACCUGCCAGUGCUGCACAUGCUACGCAAAAUAAUAUUAUGUGUAAUCACAUUAGGUUGGCAUCCAUAUGAUGGCAUGUUGUUUAAGAACUUGAUCGCUUCAUCUAACCUCCCUUCCUUGCAUAUUCCAUUGACAAGAACAUUGUAAGUAACCACAUCUGGUUUGCAUCCCCUACUUCGCAUCUCAUCUAAGAGCUUCAUGGCUUGCCCAACCCCACCUUCCCUGCAAGUCGCCUCAAUUAAUAUGGUAUAUGUAAUUACAUCUGGAUAGCACUCCUUUUCCAACUGUCUAUUAAGAACUUCCAUUGCUUGUUUCAAUUUUCCACUAUCACACAAAGCACGGAGAAUUGUAUUAUAUGUAACAACAUCAGGGGCAACACCCAUUCGGUCCAGAACCCUUAAGGCUUUAUCAAUCUCCCCUGCCUUACAAUACCCACUAGUCAACACAUUGUAAGUGAUUACAUCAGGAACAGCCCCCGAGUCCUCUACUAUCUCCAUAACCCUAGCUGCCUUCCUAGUUUUCCCAAUCUUGCAAAAACCACGAAUCAAACUUGUACAGGGAACUAUAUCAGGAAUAUCCCCUCGAUAAACCAUGCUCUCCAGAAACCUGAAACCUUCCUCUAAUUCCCCAUUCCUAACCAAUUUACGGAGAUGAUUAUUGCUUUCAACUUCCCCCAGAUUCGGCAAAGAAUCCAUUGGAUUCGAAGGAACGUGCCCAUUUCCCAACUGCCCAUUUGGCGGCUUAUCAAAACUUUGAACUUUACCAUUGGAACGAAAAGCUUCGACCCCAGAAACAGCAAAAACCCGACUCCGUUUAAACUUUCUAACUCCUAGAGAGACUUUCAUGCUUGAAUCAACUUUAGCCCUAACUCUAACUCCAGCAAAACCACUGCUGCUUCUACUAUUUUCUCCAUGGAAGUGUUGAAAUAAGCAAAACCCUUCAUGGGUACGAUGUGUAUGCACUAUCAAAUCCAUACCUCGGCUACUUAAUAUGACUGAAGCUAAAAUCAAGCAUUCACGGCGGGCAUAAAAUUAUUUCAAGAAACCCAAGCUUCACAGGUUCGUUCCGCACGACAUAGAUAGAAAAACAAGCGAAAUGGGAUUUUUGGAGAGCAAAAUCAAUUCAUGAAAAGAGAAAGAGUGCGAAACCAAGCUUACCGUAAAGAUUGAUGCAUAAGAUGAGAGACCCAGAACGGCUUGAAUGCCGGCGUGUUUCCCUAUCCAGUUUGUGUCGGCUUCUGGGCUGUGCAGAGGCAUGCGGGGAAGUGAAUCAGAGAAUUAGAUCUUUGCCCAAGUUGGAUACUUAAAAGGAAGGUUUAGGAAUUAGAAAAAUUGCCCAGCAGGCCCAUCAGCCCAAUCUCAGAAUAAGAUGAUGCAUUUUGGGCUCUGUUUGCUUCUAUUCUAUAUAUGAGAUUAUGCCCAUAUUUGGAUUUGAGGAAUAUUAUUAGAUGCAACUUUUGUACCAUAUAAAAUGUUUAUGUAGUACGUACAACAAAUAAAUAGGAUAGGUAUUACGUAGGUGCACCGUAUUCGGUUCAAAUUUAAAAAAUUGAUCAAAUCAAAUUGAUUUAAAAAUUUAAUUUGGUUUUUUAUAUAUUUCAGUUUGAUUUGAUUUUUAAUUUCAGAAAUUUCGAUUAUUUCAGUUCGGUUUGAUUUUAAUCAGAAAAAAAUUAAAAAAAUCGAACCGAACCGAUUAGUGAUAAUAAUAUAUUUUUUCAAUAAUAUAGAGAAAAUAAAUCAUAUUAAGAUUAAAAUAUUUUAAUUAAAUUUUAAAAUAUUAAAAAUAAAGUAUAAAAAAUAAAAAAAUUAUUAAAAAUCGAAAUCGAUCAAACUGAACUGAAUCGAAUCAGAUCGGUUCGAUUCGAUUCGGUUUCUGACCAAAAUCGAUUCGGUUUGAUUUUCAUAAACACUAAAAUUUUGAUUUUCGGUUUAUUCAAUUCGGUUUGGUUUUAAACCGAACCGACCGAAUGCUCACCCCUAUACAUUUACAUAAAAAUAAUUACUUUUUUUAUAAAGAAUAAAAUACUAAUUAAUUAUCAUCAUUUUAAAUUUUACGAAUUUAUAUAAAGAUUAUAUUUAAGUAUUUAUUUAAUUUUUAUUAAUUUAUUAUAUUACAUAAAUAAUCUUACAUAAUAUAACGAUUUUAUUCAAUAAUUUCUCAUUUAAGAGUUUUUAUUUUUUUUUUUCUCCAUUGCUGUAGCUUAGUUUUUCAAAUGUCUUUUCGAUGUGUGUCUCUAGUUAUUAGACUUGCUUCCAUUUGUAUUCUUUUCUCUAAGUUUUAUUCAUCUGUUUUUAUUAUUUGGUCCUCUUGGUUAACUUUAUUUUUAAUAAUAAUAAUAAUUUUGUUGCUAAAUAAAUAAAAGAAAUAUAUUUAUUUAGAAAAAGUUGAUUAAACUUACGUAUUGCAAAAAGUAAAAGAUUCUUAAGAAAAUAAAAUAGAGGAGCUGGCAUACCUAAUUAACCAAGAACUUGAUAAAUAUCAUGCAUCAUAUUGAUAUUUGUUCAAUGUAUUUUUCUAUUAGGAUAAGUAACAAAGGGGGUGUUGCCUGCCUCCCGACAGCAAUCAAUCCCUUCCGGUCAUAGCCGUUUCGCUCGAGAAAAACAAGUCAAUGUUUGGGCACAGGGAAAUACCUGUAAUUGUAACCAAUCACCGGUUGACAAAACCUCAUUAAAAAAAAACAUUGUUUCCUAAGUUUGAACGUAAAUGACUAGGAUUCAUUUGUUUAGUUGAAAACUUUAUCUAAAUUAUGUGGGCAUUUUGAAUUUUUUACAUUAAAAAAACAAAGAUAUUUUGGAUCAAAGUAUUUGAACCAAAUCUAAGUUUAGGUGAGGUCACACAGACGUGUCAGAAUUUUAGCAUCACCCAAACCUUAAAGUCACAUGUGGUUUUAACCUGUUUGGAAGAUAUUUUUGUAGAUUAACACUAUUACAUGGUCUUUUUCUUGGGGAUUAGUAACUUUAUUAAAGUAAUGUUUCCAAUUAAGCAGGCAUGCUUCCGUAGCACGUGGCUGGCUUUUGAAAAAAGUUUCAAGUAUUCUCACUUCAAUAUUUUCUUUUUUUUUUUUCUUUAAAUAAAUUAUUUACAAUUAAUAUAUUAACCAUCUCUAAUUAUAAGAUUUUUCUAGAUUUAUAAACAGAUUUUUUUAAUAAUUCAGUAAUAAUUUGUUGAGAAUUUAUUUACCAAUAAGUUAUCUAUAAAUUCAGGUCAACUGCUAUAAAUUUCCGUCAAUUGCUAUAAAUAAUUGCAAAAAAUUUAAAAUAAUUUUAGUGUAGUGGCUUUCCAUCUCCAUAAUUGUUUACAACUCUAAAUAUUAAUAUUAAAAUUAAUUUAUUAUUAUGUUUUUUUAUAGGUUUUUCAUAACAAAUUAUUAUUAAAAUAAAAUCUUAGCAUAAUUACUUUAAUAUCUUAUCAUAUAUUUUUUUCAAAAUAAUAAAUGAGUAUCGACUUAUUCGUAUUUUCCUUUAUAAUAAUUUAAUAAAUAUGUUAUUAAUAAUAAAAAUUAUAUAACUCUAAAUUUAUUAAAGUUAAAGUAAAUGUAAUAGUUUCAUUUCAAAAAAAAAAAAAAUAAAUGUAAUAGUUUUUAUUAAAUAACUUUUUAUAAUAAACAUGAAAAUUUUGCGAUUUUAAAAAGAGUUUUAACAAAAAGCAAGAAUAACUAUGCUCUUUAAAUUAAAUGUUUUAACGACUGCCGAAGAAAAAGUUUUAACUUCACAAUUGAAUAUAAGUUUGAACUCAGUAAAGAGUACUCUUAUUGAUGCAGGCUUCAUGUGUUAAAUAUUCGCUAUAUAACUCUAUUAUCACAAUAUUGUUGUUUAUAAAAAGAGAAAAAAAAUAUGUCAACUUUAUAUCAAAAUCAAAUUGAAAAUGAGAAACUGAAAAUACCACAAAAUUGCCCUGGAAAAGAUUAAAGCUUUUGAACUAAAUUAAGUUAAAUUUUAGGAGAUUUUAGAUUGAAUUCUUAAUCCUCCCCUUUAAAAAAAAAUGAAUUUUAAAAAAUGAAUUUGAAAUUAAAAAUUUAACUAAAUUUAAAUUGAAAAUAAAAAUAACUACAGCGAAUAUCUACCCUAUCCGUCCCUAUUUAUACCUAAUAUUCUGACGAACACAAUCCGUUGCAUCUGGUAGCUCAAUUUUAUUGGUGAAUUUUGACUUAUUCCUCCCUUCAAUUGCCUCGCUCUUAUUGGUAGGUUAUAUUAAAUCUCGUAAUUGACAGUGACUUGUUCUUUUCUAAAUUGUUAAAUCUCAAAACUCGUUCACGUGAUCUCAUAUCAUACGAUUAUUAAAAAAUAAUAAAUUAUAUAAGGUGUCACUUUUCAUUGGUCACCUUUCAAAAUAUCUAAGCUUGGCUACAAGCUUUUCUUGAAAUAUCUAGUCCUUUGGCUAUUAAUUUAAAGGGGGAAUUAUGAAUCCACAAAUACAUCUGAAACAAAGUCCCACAGGUGGUGGGGCAUUUCCAACAUUUCUUUUAUUUUUUAUAAUUUAAAAAAUUAAAAAUUGUUCUUUUACUUUAUUUGUCCUUUUUUAAUUUUCCCUUUUUUCCGUGAUAGUAUAGAAUAUAAAAAAGAGCCCUAUAAUUUGGAGGAAGUUUGAAGAACCGAAGGAGAGGGUAGGACAUUAGCUACGUGUUCGUUUUAGAUUCGCUCAAAGUGACACGUUGAAAAUUAAUAUAGACCUAGUUUAAUUCAAGACGUAGGUGAUUCGAUUCGAUUCGAUGCGAAGUCGAAACGUGUCGUAUUGCUUUCCCCAGUUGACGUGGCUGCAUAUUAAGGUAGAAACGUGCACCUUUCUGUUUGGCCAAUUGUGCUUGGCUUCCCGCAAUUCGGUUUUUGCCCAACCAAACCGCGUCAGCUUCCCUUUUAACUAGCCCUAAUCGCUAAUGCUAAAGCUUUUACAAUAAAGGUUGCCAUUCUACACAAGGAGAAUGCUGUUGUUUUUAAAAGAAACUGGAAGCUUUUCUCUCCCUUUCACCUCUCAUCUCUAUAUCUCAAAUCCUUUUCAGUUCUCGCCAACAUCAACUCCAUCGCGUCGCCGUCGUUUCUCUCACGCAUUGCGACUACAUCUCUGCAACCUCAUUUCUUUGUCUACGCAAUCUCGAGUCAUGGCAGCAGCCGAAGACUGGAGAUGCUGCUUGCAUGUGGCAUUCGUUUUUGUUUUUUUGAAGGCUGGAGAUUCUCAUGCUCAUGCUUUCUGUUUCUCUCCCGAGCAUUUUGAAGCCAAAUGAUUCCGUUGAUGAGGUAUUUCACACUUUGAUACUUGUUGAGUUGUUACAGCAUCCAAGUUAAUUGAGUUUAAUAUAUAUCUGGGUUUAUUAUGUUUAAGUUUUAAUUAUAUUGAGUUUAUUUGAGAAAUCUGAUUUAUUGUUUUGAAGGUGCUCGGAUUUUGCUAUUAUAUGUUUGUUGUUGAUUGGAUUUAUUUAAUUGUUUAUGUUUGUUUGGAGUUAAUUUUUGUAGGCUGAGAAAUUGUUUGAUGAAAAUUGGAUUAUGUUUUGCGACUUGUUAUUGCAACUAGUUUGGAGAGGGAAACAGAGGAAGAUAGGGAAGUAAUGCAAAGUUGAAAAAAAUGAAGCGUUUGAUCUAAAACGGCAGAGUUUUGGCUUUAUGCAAAUCAACGGUUUUGAUCCUAAUCGAACCGCAACAGUUUAUUCGAUUUAGUUCCUCUUUCAACUCGUUUAGGUUACUGUUUUACUUGAAUUAAAUUUUUCAAUCUUUUGGUUUUGGUUUGGUUUGAAACCAAACCAAUCACACUAAGAACAAACAAUCCCAGCAAAAGCAUUUGUCAUUCUAACCUUCUCCCUCUCUCUCUCUCUCUCCCCCCUAUCUAUUGUAUCAUCCAGCAUCACAUAGCCCUCACUUGCACAUUUUCUCUCGUUUUCCAGUUUACUUUCUUUUCAUGUCUUUCACUUCUCCUCUCAAUAUUCAAAGCAAACUAUAUUUUCUUCUUAUUCAAAAUCAUUUCAAAUUCAAAGCACAGGAUUAUUGACCUCCUUUCUCCCAGUUCAAACUCCAUUUUUUCCUUGAAUGGUUUAUUUUAAUAUAAGGAUCCACGGUUGAAGAAACUAAUAUCUUUGGAGAUACUAGAUAAUGAACUUCCCUUACUUAGUGUGCUCCUUUCAUCGUCGAUGGAUGAGUUGGUGAAGGGUUUAAUUUACACCAUCAUGGAGAGAUAGGGUUCCUGAGAUUUUUAUGAGUUUUGGGUAGGUUGCUAAGGAGGUUUCAAAUUUACAAAUGAAGGAGAUAGAGAGAGGCAUAGUUAAAUCUCUGAAUGUUAUAUAUAUAUAUAUAUACAUAUAAAUACACGCCACAUAGAUGAGGGAUCAAAAGGCAUAAUAAUUUAAUGUAAUUUUAAUCUUUGUUGUGGUAAUGUAACAGCGGGGUACAAUAGGUUAGAGAGAUUUUUUUUUUUUAAAAUAAAAUAUAAGUUGAGUAAUAUUAUUGAAGCAUGUGACAUGAAUGGCAUAGGCUCCAAAUUGAUGGGUGGUAAAUAACAAUUUCUAAUAUGGUGCCAAUAUUUUAUUGAUUUUACAUCUUUCUAUUUAAAAAUAGAAAAAAUUACUUUUUAAUCUCCCUAUUCUAAUGAAUUAACUAGUUAUUUUUGUGUUUUUUUUUUCUUUAAAUAAAAUUUAGUAGUUUUUGUGGUUUUGAAAAGUUUAAUUCUUCUCAUUAAGUUUUAUCACUAUUACCGUUGACUUUGUAAUGUUACCGUUAUUUUCUCUUCCACUUUUUAUUGUAUAUUCUAAUAGUAACAUGCUAAAACUUAACAAUAGUGAUCUCUCAGUUGAAUUUUUAAAACCAUAGGAAUUAUUUAAUAUGUUUUUGAAAAUACAAUGAAUAUUUAGUUAAUUUUAUCAUAGCAUAUGAAUCAGAUGAUAAAUUUAUGUUAAAAAUUUUUCUUCCGUUUCUCAACUAUAGAUUAUGUGCUUUUCUCAAUGAUUCCAAAUUAUAACCUACUUUUUACAAAGGCUGCAAUAACCGCAAUGUGGACUCACUAUUAGCGUUAGAAAUUCAGCUUAGAAUUCGUAGUAAGCCUAUAUUGCAUUUUGUUUAUUCAAUAAUAUCCCAAAUAAUCUCAACAUACCACGCACAUACUUUAAAAACUUAAACAUGUUUCAAAACAUAAACAACAUUCGUAACACAGGAAACACAGGAAGCACUUAAAAAAUGUUCCAUAAUAAUUAUUUGCAUGCAUGCCAUGGAAUUUUAAGUAACAUAAUCCUUUAACUUUACAUAGAGGUCGUUAAUUAUUUGCAUGCAUGCCAUUGAAUUUUAAGUAACAUAAUCCUUUAACUUUACAUAGAGGUCAUAGCAGUUGGAUACAAAACAACAUUAUGGGCCAAGAAUAGGUUUUUAUAGAGGUCGUAGUAGUUGGGAUACAAAACAACAUUAUGGGCCAAGAAUAGGUUUUUAUAAUGUAAUUCAUUUCAUGUUUACUAAAACAUAAAACUAUUACAUUAGAACUUUACAUAAUACAAAACAUUAUUCCUUGGUGUCCUCAAUUUAAAACUCCUGAUCAUGCAAAAUUAGGGGUUAAAGGAGAGGGGUAAUAUACUUGAAAUAGCUUAGUGAAUAAAAGAUGUAAAUUACAUUUAAACUUAUAUUUUAUGCAUCAUGUAUACUGCAUAACACAAAUAAAUCAUAAUAUGUUAGGUUUGUUAUCAAUAGCCCUUCAAUCAUCCAAAGAGUCAGGCUCUUACCGGUACUCUUUAAGAUUUUCUCUUAAUGCAUAUAUAACAUUCCAUAGUGCAUAAAAUGGGUUUUGAGCUGAACUUUUUCUUAAUAUAAUAUAGAGUAGUUCUGACCUAAUCAUAUCACAUUUAACAUAAUAUAAAUAUUUUAUAAGGGAGCUAUUGGGUCAUUCAAUACUUUCCAUUCAACGGCAACCAAUAAAUAUAGUACAAUAUAUUCGUGUUUCUAGAUACAUAUACUCUAAUAUAACGUAUGAUAUCACAAUAAAUAUAGUGCAACAUAUUUGUGUUUCUAGAUAUAUAUACCCUAAUAUAAUGUAUGAUAUUUUGUGAUGCAUGGGGAAGCUAAUUAUAUUUUUCAAUUUAAAUCAAUUUAAGUUUUUGUUCUUACCUUUUGUAGACUCAAAUAUCAUUUUACUAAAAUUUGUAGUUGUCUCACUAUUAGCCUCCUUGAUUUUUCAAAUUAAUUUUUGAUAAUGAGAUAUUAAAUUUCAACGAAAAUUUCGUUGGAAAUUUUGAAUUCUGGACUAGAAGUUAGGCAGGUAUUAUGAAGGGAUUUUAUUUAUUAGUUUCCUAAUUAAUAUAUCCCUUGAGAAAGUAAACUUCUUUAGUUCUAAAGUAAUAUAGUAUUAUGAGUUAUUAAUUUUUAAUAUAGCAUUAUCAGUGGAUGGUAUAUUGGGACAAUCCAUAAAAAAUGUAUUAUUUUAACUACAUUAAUUAUUUGUUUAAUCUGUAUGAAAAUAGAAUUAAAUCUAUUAUCGUGAGAUGCAGGAACUAAUAUUUUAACAAAGUUCACAAUAAUCAAACAUCCAUACAUGGCUAGGUUUAAGCACUAACUAGUUACAAUAUAAAAAGCAAAUUGAAUUGUAAUAUUUUCAUUUAAAUGAUUUUUAAUUUAAUUGAAUGAGUUAAUUACUUUUAAAAAAACUAAUAUUUGCUUGAGUUUUAGUUAGCUAUUAAUGUCAAAGCAACCAAAUUUGAUACUCACCUACCUAGAUCCAUUUUUUUCAUCACUACCUACCCCAUUGGAGUAACAGCCCCUUCGCCGACCAUCUGCCAGCCUUCGGUGACUAAGAUCUCGACGUGUGACUCAGGUGCCACCCUCCUUUGGCCCGUGAGCUUGUUUCUGGCGUAGAUCUUCACGCCCGAACCUUAUUGCUGCCUCUAGACCUCUCUUUUUGGCUUGUUUCUGCCGUUUCUUACUGGAUUUGGUGUUGAUUGGGUGCCUCCAGCUGUUUGGGUACUCCUUUGCUUUGUUGCUACUCUUUAUUAUGGCAGAAGCAAAAAGGAUUCUUUGCUAGGGUGUUGAUUGGGUGUUCAUUUUAGUUGGACAAUCUCUUUUCUAUUGUUGUGGUUGUUUUGUUGUUGUUUUCUAACAAAUCGUUCCUUGAUAGUGCUCCAUGGAUUAUUGAUUCUGGUGCAAAUAAACACGUGAUGGGUCCUCUAAACGCUUCCUUAAUUACCUUCUGUGUCUACAAAAGGACAUAGUCAAAAUAGUUGAUGGUUCUUUCAUUCUUGUCUCUAGAACCAGAUUGAUUAUUUAUAUUUCUAAUAUUAAGCUAUCCUCUGUUCUCCAUAUUCCUCAUUUUCCUAUUAAUAUUUUAUUAGUCAAUGCUCUUACCAAAGUUCUUAACUGUAAGUUGUGUUUUUUUUUUUUUUUUCUGAUCAUUGUGUUANNNNNNNNNNNNNNNNNNNNNNNNNNNNNNNNNNNNNNNNNNNNNNNNNNNNNNNNNNNNNNNNNNNNGAGGACCUUUAAACUGAGAAAAGGAUUGGCUAUGAUAGAUUGUAUGAUGGCUUAUAUAUGUUGGAAGGGAAUUUGUGUUUGAAUUCAUCUCGAGCCCUUUUUGGUAAAAAUCAGGAUGUCAACCAGGAAAUCAUAUAGUGGCAUCGACGGUUAGGACACCCAUCCUUCUUUGUUUUAGAUAAACUUUAUCCUAAUUUAUUUUUUAAGACUCAGUGUGAUUCUUUAGUUUGUAAUGCUUGUGAGUAUACUAAGCAUUCAAGAACCUCUUAUCUCUCAAGUAAAAAUAGAAGUAUGGUCCCUUUUGAGACCAUUCAUUCUAACGUUUGGGGACCUACUUAAAUGGUCUCACUAUUUGGUAAUCGUUGGUUUGUUAUUUUUAUUGAUUGUUGUACUCGCAUGACCUGGGUUUAUUUGGUAAGGACAAAGAGUGAUGUGGUUUCUUGCUUUCAAUUUUUUCACAAGAUGAUUUAUACUCAGUUUGAUGCUAAGUUAAAAGUUUUGAAAACUAAUAAUGGCAUAGAGUAUAUGGAUGGUUGUUUUUCUGCUUAUCUGGAGUCUGUUGGGAUACUACAUCAAACUAGUUGUCCUUACAAUAGUACCAAAAUGGUAUUGUUGAAAAGAAAAAUAGGCACCCAUUGGAAGUGGCUUGAUUUCUCUUUUUCACUAUAAAUCAUCAAAAAACCUAUUGGGGAGAUGCAAUCUUAGCCGCAACGUAUCUCGUUAAUAGAAUACCUCUCAAAGUUCUUGCCUUUAAAAGCCCUCUAGAGAUGCUACAAGGGAAAAAUAUUUAUACUGUUCCAUCAAAGGUAUUUGAGUGCACGUGUUUUGUUUAUAAUAGGACAAGUGAGAAACUCGAUUCGAGGGCUUUUAAAUAUGUAUUUGUUGGAUACUCUCCCACAUAGAAGGAUUACAAGUAUUACUACCUCCAUCUAGAAAAUAAUUUGGUAGUAUGAAUGUUACGUUUAAAAAGACUGAAACUUGCUUCAGUACUACUCCAUUACCUCUUCAGAGGGAGGACAAUGAGAGAGAAAGAUAAUUCCUAGUCCUAUAACUCAAGAGCAUUUUACUCAAAAGGAGACUACUAUACAAGGGGAGACUAUUGGUGAUUAGGAAAAGAUAAUUGGACAUUUGGAUAAACUAGAUUUAAGGAGAUACUCAAGAAGAGACACAACAGAUGCAGAAAAAGCCACUAUGCAGCCUACUUCGUAUCUUAAUUUUUCUCUUAUCCAUCUGGUGAGUCAAAUCUAAACCUUGAUCCCAUUGAUGAUUUAGAUGAACCAAUUGCUCAAAGAAAAGGAGUUGGGUCUCGUAUAAAACACUCUAUUUCUAUCUUUCUCUCUUAUGAUUCUUUGUCUCCAUCCUCUAGAGCUUUUGUCUUGUUAUUUCCUCUGUGUCUAUCAUAUAUGAUUAGAAGAAAGCUCUUAAAGAUUAUAAUUGAAAGGUAGUAAUAAUUGAAAAAAUGAAAGCUUUAGCUAAAAAUGAGACUUGGGAGUUGGUGUUUCUUCCACCUGAAAAAAAUCAGUUAACUACAAAUGGGUGUUUAGUGUAAAACACAAAGCAUAUAGAUCAAUUGAAAGAUUCAAGGUUAGAAUAGUUGCCAAGAGAUACACUCAAAUCUAUGAAGUGAAAAUGAUUUCCAGGAGACAUUUACCCUUGUUGCCAAAAUGAAAUCAAUUAGAGUUUUGUUAUUUUGUGCUGCCAAUCUUGAUUGGGACCUACAAUAAUUUGAUAUGAAAAAUACAAUUCUCUACGAAGACUUAGAAAAGGAAGUGUAUAUGGAAAUCUUUCCAAGAGAGGUGUGCAGGCUAAAGAAGGCUUUGUAUCUGUUGAAGCAAUCACCUAGAGCUUGGUUUAAUCGAUUCAGCAGAGCUAUGAUUUCCUUUGGCCAUCAAUAGAGUAAUGCUGACUAUAUUUUAUUUGUCAAACAUUACAAGAGUAAAAUUGCUCUUUUCAUAGUCUAUGUUGAUGACAUAGUAAUGACAGGAAAUGACACUGAGAAGAUGACUCGAGUGGUGAAAAAUCCCUUUUUGUAACAAAUAAGAUUGAAAUUCCCUAAAAAGAUACUCUUUAGCAUUAUCACUUAGCAAAAUUCGAAUGGAAAUAUUAAAUUGAGUUUGGAUUUCAGCAUAAAAAGCACAAAAUAUAGAGAAUAAUUCUGAAUGACUCUUUAUUAAAAAUAACCAAGUAGUGUGAGAGAAAUCAUCAACAAAAGUAAUAAAAUACUUAAAGUCAAACUUAAACACGAUAGGAUAAGGAACCCAAACAUCUAAAUAGACUAACUCAAGAUGAAGCCUAUUUAUUGACUUGAGACACUGUACGUAAACGAUGAUAUUUGGCAAAUUGAUAAGACUCACAAUCUAGAAUAGAUAAAGAGUGAAACUAUGGACAUAACUUUUUCAAUUUCGAGAGAGAAGGAUGCCCCAAACGACAAUGAAUAUCAAAAGGCGUUAACCUCAUGGAACAUGCAAGAGAUCUAGGUAGUUGCUGAUCCAAGACGUAAAGACCCUCUGACUCACGCCCUCUACCAAUAAUCUGUUUCGUCGAAAGAUCCUGAAAAAUACAAUGAUCAGGAAAGAAUGAGACACAAUAAUUCAGUGUACGAGUAAGUUUACUAACGAAAAGCAAAUUAAAGGAGAACUUAGGAAGACAUAACACACAGGAUACAGAAAGAGAAGGGGUUAAGUUGACAUGUCCAGAACCCAUGACAUAUCCAAAACCCAUGACAGAAGAUUUAGCGCCAUCAGCAAGAGUAACAUAAGAAGAUGAUGCAUGAGACUUAAUAUUGGAGAAAAUGGUAGAAUUACCUGACAUAUGAUUGGUAGCACCAGAAUCAAUAACCCAUUUGGAGGAUGAAGACACAAGACAUGCAGUAGAGUUACUUGACUCAGCAAUUGUAGUGGUAGAGGAGUUAGAAGAUUUCAGAGAUGUCUAGUACUGGGCGAAUUGUGCAUACUCAUUAGCAGAUAUCAAAAUUCCCUAAUUAGAGGAGGUCUCGGCUGCCAUAUGCGCCAUUUGUAAGCGCUAUUCUUAUUUUGAAGUUUCAAGCAUGUCUUCUUUGUAUGUCUAGGUUCACGGCAGUAAUAACAUAUGAUUCCACCGGAGUCAGAGGUAGAAACUGCUUCCCUAGGAUGCUUAGAUCCUCUACCAUCAUUAAAACCUUCCCUGUGCCCACCUCUGUUAUUUUGUCUACCACUAUCAUUGUGACUAACAAGAGCACUAGUGGUGUGUGAAGGAAUUGGAGACUCUAUACGCAACACCCUAGUGAAAACAUCAUGUAACGAUGCUGUUUCAGAGUCAAAAAGAAUAUGAGAUUUAGCUGUCUCAAACUUUGGAGGGAGACCUGCAAGGAAGCUCAUAACAACUAUUUGCUCUCAUUAAACUUGUUGAGUUUUCACAUCUGUACUAAAAGGCAUCAAAACAUUAAGUUGCUCGUACACUCUUUUAAAGUUCAUAAAAUAGGAUGUCAGAAUUUUAUCAUUUUUCUCAGCUCGAUAAAACGCCUUACACACAUUUUAAAUACAAGAAACAUUCCCUUUGCGAGAAUAUAAAAACUCCAAAUAAUCCAUUAAUUUUUUAACAAAUUCACAGUGAUUAAUUACCUCACUAUAAAUAUAAUUUCAAAUCUGCAAAAAUAAUCGAGUAUCAUCCUUUAUCCAAUUUCUCCUAGUUUCAUCAAUUGGAGGAUUCUUGGUAAGAUGAUCAUCCAUUCUGAUACUUUAUAAAUAAAUACGGAUAGUUUUACUCCAAUCUAGAAAAUUAGAUCCAUUCAAUUUGUGUUCUGUGAUUUUAGUCAUCGCAGGAAUCACCUUAGUUAUGGUGUUUUUAACUUCAGCCAUGAGAACAACCAACCCAAAAUAAUAGCAACAAAAGAAACACAGAAUCAGAAACAAGUACCCAAUGUAAACAGUACCAAAAAUGCCUUCACCCAAUACCCAAAUGGCAAACGAACCACAGAUAUGACGAGAGGGCUGUGAGGUGACUCCGACGAGGGUGACCGGAGUAGUGACGAACAGGCGACGCGCCUCCACGCGCCGGUGAGUGGGACAGCAUCAGAAUCUUGUUGCGGCGCGUGAAGAGCACUCGCUGGACAGACACUGUUCGACUCUUUAGGGCAGCUUUGCUGACGCUCCGGUGUCCUCCCUAUGUGGGCGGUGAGAGACAAAUGUUACCCUAGAUGAGUAAUUCAAAAGAACAGGAGUCCUAAGUCUCCAAAAAAUUUUAAAACUCUACGGGAGAGGAAAAAAAACUUAAAUCUCUACGAGAAUAACUCUGAUAUUAUGUAGAAAGGUAAUAUUUGUUAUCUAUUACAAUAGAGAUUACAACAUAUUUAUACAUGAGAGACUAUAUCUAAAAAGAAUCAAACCUAUGAUCAUGCAAUCCCUAAAAUUAAGCAACUAACACCUCUAUUAAUAUUUACUUCCUAUAUAAACAUAUUUACUUCCUAUAACUUAUAAUAUUCCCCUUCAAGUUUAGGCUCAAUGUUCUUGUAUAAUGUUUUAUCUCUCAUUGUUCUUGUCUGAUAUUUUAUCUCCAUCUUUUGAGUGAGUAUACAUUUUCAAAAGAAAUGCUUUUAAGUCAAUGUGUAUGCAGUUAUGUGCAUCAACUUGUGUUGGAGAUCAUCAGCGCCAAAGGUGAAAUACUGGAAGAUGCUAAUGAAAUUAAUUAAUUAAACAAUAAUGCUCAUAAAUGUUUUUCUAAAAAAAUAAAUUGAAAAACAUUUUACAUCUUUCCUCUUACUUGCAAAUAGCGUGAGAGGUAAUUAUGCUCAUUUUGCAUGCUCAUAGAGGACCUAACGGUUAAUCCACAGUACUGUGCCUUUUCUGAAGUGUAUUUGUCAAGUAAUUCCUGAAUACCAAUUUUGGUACUGUAAUACAAUGUUGCAUUUUUCAGAAAGAGAUCUCCUUUGCCCUGCUAACUUGCUAAUUUCAUAGUAGUAUGUUUCGUAUGCUGAACUUGAAGUCUUGAACAGUGUAUGCUUUUACUAAAGCCUUAGAUGCUCUUUUGUCCUUGCUUAUUGACUCGCGGUUGUCGAAGCCGGUCAAAAAUAACAUUUCUGGUUAUCAACAAUUUACAACUGCAGAUAGUGGUGAAAGGAUCGAAUCCACAGAAAAUUGAGAACUUACCUAUAUUCCUUAUCAAGACCAAUAAAAUAAACUGAAACAAAAAUAAACUAAAAAAGAAGAAAACUGAAAACGAGAUAAUCUGAAACGAGAUAAAACUGAAACGAGAUAAAACUGAAAGAAAAAUAAACGGAAAGCAAAAUAAACUGAAACGAGAUAUAACGAGAUAAAACUGAAAGAGAAAUAAACGGAAAGCAAAAUAAACUUAAACGAGAUAAAACUGAAAACGAAAUAAACUGAAAGCAGAAUAAAAAUAAAUUGCAGUAAAAGUAAAAUGGGAGGUUUGAGAUUGAUUUGAUUAACAAACUGCUGAAAGCAAUUAAAAUAAGCGAAUAAUAAAAUAAAAGAGAAAUAAAUAAUAAGAAAGCUCUAGUUGAAGAAUUGGAUCCACUUCAGUUGUUGGGAUUGAUCAUUGACACUUAGUUUCUUUUGAUUGAUUCAAUAGAUUAGUUAUGGAGAUGGAAGAUGCUUCUCACUACCAUGUCUCUCCUUAUGAUUAAACCAAUUAGGGAACGUCCUCUAAUUAAUUACUAAUUAACAAAUUGCCAAGGAACGUCCUUGGACCUUAGGCAUCAAACAAUUGUUAAUUGCAUGAAGAAAGAGAGAGAUCCAAUCCUAACUACUCAAACGCAUGAGAUGUUGCUAGAUCAUACAAUUUCCUUGGUUUUUAUACCAAGUGUUCUUAUAUUUGAAUAAUCCAAGCAAUUACGGACUUAAAUCACCCAAACUAACAUAUUAUUACCUUGCAAUCAAGAAUCAAUUGGCCAUAUUGAUCAAAACAACAAAGCAACAAUGGAAUUAAGCAUGAGAUUGUAUGAAUAUUGAAUAACAAAAGAUAAACAAUGUUUGAUCAAGUCUCCCAAUCCAUAAAACAACUAAAGCAUCACCUAAUCUUCAACUAGAAUAAAAGAUUUCAGCCUCUCAUGGCUGAAACAAAAAUAAAAAAUAAAGAAAAGAAGAAAGGUAGAAGAAGAGAAGAAAGGUAGAAGAAGAGAUGUGAAUUUCGCAGGUGUCUCCAAGGUGGUGUGUAAAAGCUGUGUGGAGGAUGUGUCUUUUUAUAGUUGAAAGUGCUGCCUUAGGUCAUACUUGCUUCCUAAUUAGUGAAGAGGCUGCCCAAAGUGCUGAAAAGGAAAGAAUCGCGUUUGCAAAUUCUCCGGAAGGAAGGAGGCGCGCGGAUCAGGCUUCAGAAGAGGAAGGAUGCGCGCGGAUUGCAGAAGAGGAAGUGGAGCGCAGUCAUUGAAUGCAGAAGGGAAAGUGAAUCUGUCCAGUCUUUCCUUUUUAGGUGGAGCCUUCGUUUGAAUUUUGAAUGUUGAACGCAGAAGAGGCAAGUGCGUCUUCAUGAGAUCUUGUUGCCUAAAUAGGAAGAUGUGACUGCUGCAGUGUGUGCAUAUCUUUGAAUAAGGAAAGAAAGAUCUGCGAUUUGAAUUUCAAAUAAUCUUCUAACUGAGCUUUCCUUAUUUGCUUUUGUUUCUGCACUUCCCUUAUUUGAGGACUUUCCUUUUCUGAAAACUUUCCAUAUUUGUCACUUUUUCGCAGUUUUAAAAGCAUUUUCUCCAGAAUAUCUCUUUACACCUAAUAUCUGCAAAACAUGAUUAAAACCAUAAAAUUAGGCAGAAAAGAUGUAAAUAAACAUUAAGAACAUCAUGAUAAAAUGGACUAAAAUAUGCUCUAUCACUUAUUGUAUCUGUUAAUAAUCCUGGCUGAAGUUGAAACCCAAUAUUCUUGAAAAAGGACUGCUUGAUGCUGCACAUUUGAAUGUUUCUUUGUCAAUGUUCUUUUGAAUGAGGUGACCUUCUGUCUCAGCACAAGCAUCAAAUAAACCGAUGAUUAGUAUCAAAGAGAAUUUUAUAUGUUUUCCACAAUAUGACCAAUUUGCUAACUAUAAAUCUACAACAAACAUCCCAGAUUUUAUUGUAGUCAUGACUUGAAACUGUAUUUAUGGUGGCGUGUCCUUCCCUAACUUUUCUACUUGUUAUUUUCCUUCUUCAUGUGAUUUUUCUCGAGGAAUUGUGUCCUAAUUUUUACAAGUUUGUGUUGCAAUAUAUAUAUUAUUUUUUGUUGCAAAGCACAUUUUUAUUUGAGUGUUUUUUUCUGUAGGUUUUCAAGGGAGCAUUGUCAGUGAACUGAUCGCAGGAUCAAUAUCAGUUCAUAAGUUGUUGAAGUUGAUGUAACCAGCUGCAAAACCAAGAAGGUAGAUGUUAUAGCUCUUUCCACUAAGAAUUAUUUAAAGUUAAUUUAGUUUUCAAAGUUGAAAAGCUAUUCAGCUCCAAAGUAUUCUAUUAUUAUGCUUGUUAUCUUGCUGAUCCUGUGCAUUUUAGUGUUGAUAUCUUUCAUUCCCUUUGAUAAUCAGGCACACAUAAUUGUUUCCUAUUCAAGUAAACUGUAAGCAUGAGCAAGGUCAAUGCAAUGGUGCUUUUGCAUUUAAAGGGUAUGAUCACUUAGAAAAAAAGUGUUCCAUCUGCAGCGCAAUGCCAUUUUUCUCUUUAUUACAUUUCAUUUUAUGUCUUUCAUAGUCUGCUGUUUUCCCUGGUCAUCAGUUAUCACACGUGCUAAAGUUUUUUUCAUUGAUGGUGUCAAAGUUAAACCAAUGUCUGUUGGUCCAAUGAUCAGUGGCUAGCAUACCACACUGCACCAGUAGAAGCAUAAUUACGAAAUUUAUGUCAUUAAUAUUCCAUAACAUCCAUUCCCAGCAGAUGCAUCUUCUUCACUAAUGCAAAUGUAGUCUGCUGCAGUUAUCAAAGAAAAAAGGGCUUGGCAUCAAGAUUAUGCAAAGCAACUGGUAGACAUAAUUAAAAUGCUUGUUAUAUGGAGGGAAUUAUACCCCAAUUUUGUAGCUCUUGCUGGUGUAUCAUAGUUCUGUUGCUGUGGCUGGCUAAGCUGAAGAUGGACAGGCACAUUUGAAUCCUCCUCAAUUGCCGCAUCAUUGAUGCUAAGGUAAUCUCUGUUUAGUCCAUUUACAUUUCCUGCUCCAUACACCUGGGAUAUGCAAAAUUUUAAAUGAGGAUGGAUUAAAAAUGUUUGCCAAUUUCAUGGAGAAAGGUUUGACUAUUUGCUUCAUCCGUCCAAGUCCAAUUGACGGUUGUGUUACUUAUCCAAACCUCUACCAUCAUAUACAUUUGCCUGUCCCCUUGAAAAAAUAUUUUUACCUUCUUAUACAGUUCCACAUUUUCUUGGUGAAUGAGGUUUCCCUGAAAUAAAACAAUAAAGUUUAGCUACUUGAAUUGUGGAAAGCUUCAGAAGUAAAAUUACUGGCCAUUGUCUCAGGGGUUCACCUUUCUCUUUAGUUCUUGUAUUUCGUCCAUUAACAUAUGGUCCUAAAGAAAUCAAAUAUUAAUAUCAGUGACAUGCAUGUGCUUACUAUGCAAGUAUCUCUUGAGGCUGAUUUUUGGAAUUAGAUUUCCAAACCUUUUUCAUACGAACACCCCGGAGACUCAUUUCUAGCCGACUCUCCAAAUUUUGUAACUCCUUUACGCUCAAGCCAGAGAGCUCUUCACCCAUCAUUUGCCUGGUAUUGUUGCAUACAAAUGCAAUAUUUUAAAGUUUUACUAGUUAUUCUCUACCUUGCUAUAUAGGGAUAGAUCACAUGCAAUCAGCUAUUUCUUCUAAUCACAGUAUUUGGUUCUCUGUGGAUUUCGUGGUUUUAUGAAGGUAGGUCAUCUAUAAAGAGAAGAAAAUAGGCCAAACUCUCAUAUUCUACUAGUCUAUUCUGCACAUUCUGUUCACAACUUCACAUGAAAAGUGGUAGCUGUGGUUCUCUGUUUUUUGCACGUGGAAUCAACAUGCUAAUUGUUUAUGGUUUAUAUUGUGGUGAAUUUUAUGAAUCUGCCUUCAAAUUAAAUUAAAUUAUCAUCUUCUCUAGUUCUAGAAGUUGCAGAUAGUUACAUGAAAAUAUUGACAAAAUAUUGAAUAAAAUAUAUUUAGGUUACAGUUGGAUAGAUGAUAUGAAUAGAUUUACAACCAAAACAGUUAAAAAUCAUAUAAAUUUGAUGUUUCAACUACAGUUCAUAAUAAGUUGAUAAGUUAACUAUCCAUUCGAAGGCAUGGGGUUAUAGCUUAGAUUGCACUUGAAUCACGAUGUAAAUUCCAUGAAUCUCUUGAAAGAAAAAAUAUUUUGUUUGUAAUUGAGAGAUGUAGUAGAAGCAUUCUCUCUUUCUCUCUCUCUCUCUCUCUCUCUUUGUAUUUCCCUUUGUCCUUCUUUUUUUUUUUUUGGAUUGUUUGGUUGAGGGUGGGUAGAGGGCACCAUGGGCACCUGAACCCUGAACCAAACAUAUGCUGUACAUGCCACUUUGAGACGGGUGAACCAUUUGCAAGUUAAAUCAGUUGUAAACACAGAGAUAGGUGGUCUGCAGGAAUUGGGUUAUAAAUAAUAGCAUGUCUCACUGAUCAAAUAGGUUCCUAUUCUCAUUUUUUUCUCUAUUUCACUCUUUCUUCAUGCCUCUCGUAUGAGAAAUUGAUGUUAAAAAGGAAAUAUCAUACCGAUGAUUUUCUUGUAAGUUUUGAAGUUGUUGCCUCAACAUAGCUGCCUCCCUUUGCCAGAACUAGCAAAAUUCACAAUUUAGCAACAUAUCAGUCUUUUCUGGUUCUCCUGGCUAUGCCAAAUUAUUAUUAUUAUUAUUAAUUUUAUUUUCUGAUUAUAGUAAUGGUCAUGACCAGAUAGAAACACAUAAUAUAUUGAGUUUUUCAUAUAUGAUUUUCCUUCCUGCUCCUAAUUUCAGUGUAGCAGUUAAUUAUUUUUGACACUGUUUUCUUAUUUUGCAUUAUUCAUUGAUUGAAUUCAAUAUGCCUUUUCAACAUUUAGAAUUCAAGUGUAGCCGUGGAUUACAUGACAGAUACCAUGAGAGAUGGGAUGUAGAAGAUUUGCUGCAUGAUUAUUGACAGGUAUGAAGAGGGAAAAAAAAAAAGAACAUGUUGAACUGUUUUUAAGUAAUCAGCAAUGUGUGUAUGGUAAAUCUACUCGUCUGGUUUAAUAUGUGGGACUGGUGGCCACCCCAUCUAAAGCAGAAGGGUUCUGGUGUGUUAGAAGGCCGACAACAUAACAGAAGCAGUUAAAACGAUGAGCUUGAAUCAGUAUUAUUUCUCUACAUUGAGUGCUAAUAUCCUUAAUUGGAUUAAAUUGACAAGACAUGGCCACAGUUCACUAAUUGUCUACACUGCUGGAGUCUGAUUAUACUGCAAAUUCUUUCACAUGUAUUUCUUAUUACGCCUUCUGUUGACAGGAUCAGGAUGCUGUUUUGCUUUUUCUAGAUUGACAAUUUUCAUUAAUAGGAAUAGAAGAGUAAAUGUUGUGUGUUUUAUAAGUUGUAACAAUGGCAAAAUGUUUAGGAUGCUGACCAGACAACAAUGUGGAAGCUAAUAUUUAGACAGAUCAAACUCUGAGGGAAGUGAAGUUGCUUGUUCUCUUCUUCUAAUUAAUAACUGUCUUUCUAGCUUUCCCAUAUCCUCCAUGUGCCAGAAUCCUCCAGAAUUAGUGUUGUUUUCUAUUCUCUAGAGCUUUAAGACUAUUUUAUCUUCUCUACUAAAGUUUCUGGACCUUAAAUACUUGUAUAUGGCUGUCCUUUAGUUUUGUAUAACUGAUGUGAGUAAGCAUUUGCAUCUUUUUACCACAGCAAUUUUGCUUUCAUAAUUUAUAGCAUUAUUCUUCUGUUGUAGUCAUAUCAAGGCAUGUGGCAUAAGCUAUCUGUACAAACAAAAUCUAUUUUGCCUAUCCCGUAUAGGUCUUUUUUCACCCAAUCCCAACUUUUAAAUUUCCAUUCUCAGACCAUUUGACACCCAGGUUAGUUGGAACAUGUCGUUGUCUAUCAUCUCCUUUGUUGCAUAAAAUAUUCCAACAUAUGAUGCUUUAAGAUGUGUAUAAUAUGUAGAAUUUUAGCUCAUAGUUGCACAUGAUUGUAAGAGUCAGUAUCCUUCUGCCAUAGAGCAGCUGAGUUGAAAAUUUGUUGCUUAUGUUUUCCUGUUGAUAACCAUUUUAUUUGGAGAAAGUAUCAAAGUUCAACAUGUUUGUCUCUAAUACCAUCUAUAUUCUACAUGUAUAUGAAGGACUCUUACAUGAAAAGACCUGAAACAUUAGGUUACCAUCGAGGAUGAAAAAAAUAACACCAAUCCUUAAUCCAAACUAGUGGGUUUCAGCUAUACGGAUCCUUUUUCUUCAUUCAGUUCUGUUUGAAAUCAGUUCCACAUCAAUAUUCUAAAAAUGUGAAUCGUGUUGACACUAUUUCCCUCUACAUGCCAUUAUAAGUCUACCCCUUUUCCUCCUCACUUCACCCUUAAUUUACCACAUUCCCAUAUAAGAGCUUUUAGUUCUCUGUCAGACAGAUAUGGCCAAAAUAUAUUGGGCGAAUGCAGUGAAAAUCUGCUGUUUUGUACAAGUCAUAUACACGAAAACGAAGGAACGGGAGAUUGACGAGUGUGUACUAAAAUACCUUCACUUCCGAGAUUGGGUUUCCCAUCUGAUGUUCCUCUUUUGAUUUGUUGUAUCUUUCAAUCACUGAUUUCAUGCUGCAAGUACAUAUUCAAAUUUUAUCAGAGAUGAAUAUUAUGCCAUCUCCAAACUCUUAAUAACAUGUGUAAGAAUAAAAUGCCAAUAACUACCCAUGUAUAAUUUGGAAAGAAGUCAGAUUUGUCAUUCUGUUGUGCUUAUGUCAGUUAAAACUGUAACUGUAACAUCAAAUAAGAUUUUUUGAAUCUUCUUUGGUUUGAAAUUGACGGGAACCAAGGGUGCAUUUUUUUCAACUCAGAUUUUGAUGUCGACAGAUCUAAAGUUGUUUUUACAUUUAUACAUUUUGCUCCUGAAAAUCAGGAAAUAGCUUUGCACUGAUGGCGUUCAUCUACAUUAUUCCACUUUUUCCUUAUCUGUGCCAUCAUCUGUCUUUUCCUUAAGUUGGUUAUUGAAGAAUUAUGUACUCAAGGAAAAGAGUCAUCACAUACUAUUUGCUGUGAUUUUUUUUUUUAAAUAUCAGACACAUAUUGGAGCUCUUUUUUGUGCAAUUUUUACCCUUUCUUUCUGUGGAACAUUAAUCAAGUGCAGAUCAGUUUACAGCCUUGUUCUACAAUAUUUUCUCAUUCAUCAGAAAGAAAUGUCACAUUGCAAGACAUGCGAUCAUCAGCUUUGGAUCCUUCAUGGAUGUCAAGAUUUCCUGCAUAUUAUUGAAGAAGGGAGAGGGUGUGUGGGUGGAAGGGGUUUAUUUACAAAUAAGUUUCUUAGCAAAGCUGAAAAUUCUGUAGAAGUUUUGAAUUCAGUAAAUUACUGUUACAAUAUAGUUUAGCAGCCCUGUAUGAGAUACAAAGCAAAAGAAGGAAGACAAUUCUGAAAGAUGCACAAAUAGGAUGUCCCUUAGACAAGAUGAGACAUCUGAAAUAUGAAAUUUAAUGUUUUGACACUAUAUUAUGGAAAUCAGAGUAAAUUAUUGGGUUUGCCCAUUCGCCAGAAGAGCAUCUCUACAAUUGAUAAUGGGCUUCAACUCCAAGUUUUGCUUCUCUGAUGUCCAAUGUUCUGUUUGCUUUUGUAGCAAACAGCACAAUUGAAGAAUUUUUAGUACCUGUUUUGUGAAAGGCUCCUAAGCUCCCAACUCUAUAUGCAUUCUGUUUUAAAUUAUACGGACAUUAACCAAGGAGAAUAGGCCCAAGCUCUCCCUACUGGUUCUACCCAGAUAAGAUGGGAAAUCAAACUGAUCUCAUGCAAAGGUAUGUGUCUGUACCCUUCCUUUCAGAUUACUUUGAAUGCGUAAAGAAUUUACCAGUUGCACAGUUUAUUUUCCAAAGUUCCUAACUUCGACAUAAAUUCAAGAGUUCACUAAAGUUGGUGGCUAAAAUUUAGAAAUUUCCCAUACUUUAGGUUAGAGAAAGUUCCGCUUUUUUCUUAUAUAUAUAUAUAUAUAUUUUUUGCCUUUUCACUGAAACUUUAAUUGAAAUUUGAGCCAUGUAACAGUUUUUGUUGCAAACUACUUAGUCCUUGCAAAUUUAUUAUCUUCUUAUGUAUUUGGUUCUUACCAUCUUUAUUUCUAGAAGCAUGCUUCUACCGUUUCCUUGCAAACUAAUUAUAGUGGAUCUCAUAUUCACUAUCAGACCAUAGAAUCAGUAGAUUUCAAUUUAUUUUCUUCUUCCUUUGAUUUUCUAUAAAGUUUAUUAGCAUGAAUUUGACAAAUUAUGUUGACUCAACCUCAGAAUGGCCUUAGUUCAUGGAAGUUACCAUCGACAAAUUCAGGUCAUAAUGUUACUCUUAACUGCAUUCUUGUAUUUCAGUUAAACUCAGUUAUGACGAGUAACCAAAAUCCUCCAGUUGUACAGGCUAGUGAGUUUGUGCUGAGCAGUAAUAUAGGACAGAUUAAUGCUUCAUAUCCAUCCAUAGAGAGGGAAUAAAGAGCUUUGAACCCAACUAGCGAAUCAUUGGUUAGAGACUAGUUUGGCUAGAGAGAACACACUUCUAUAAUAUUUUGAGUAGGAUAUUAAAACAAAUUUAAGCUUGUCUUGAAUCAGAGAAUCUAGCAAGAACCUUGAAGCAAAAUGCUGCUUGGGGUAUGGAUGCAAGACUACUUGUUUGAGAUUCAAGGCAUAAAGGAUCUAGCUUAUACAUCUUGUUUUCUCUUAGCCAAGAACCUAUACUGAGCCUUGGAAAAAAAAUGUAGUUCCCAAGUUUUGGGUUUCAUGAAACACAUAUUCUGUAGUUUCGUGUCAUGAAAGAUGGACAAAAUGCAUAUCUAUUGUAUCCUAUUCUAUCAAUAGUAAUGGCCAUCUUUUCGGUUAUAUGGGCCUGUCAGAGGGUUGAGGCAGGGUAUCUUCCUAUUAUAUAUUUUUUUUUAUUUGUAAUUUGUACGCAGGGACUUGCUCAUUUAAUAAAAAAGCGGAGAUUCAGGGCAUAUAUGCUUCUAGAAACGAUCCAGCAGUGAGCCGUCCAGCAGUGACUCAUCUCUUCUAGCUGAUUACUCGGUGAUCUUUACUAAAGCAACAAGUUCAAAGGCUACAAAAAUUAAAGUGUUGCUUGAUUAGUUCUCAGCUACAAGUGGUAACUCAAAAUUAUAAAUAGGAUGAAAGUUGUGAAAAAAACAAAUUUUUUUUAAGAGAAAAAGAGAAAUAACUACUUAAAAUGAAGGCAUGACCGCCAUAACUGAUAAUGGGAAGCCUGAAGCCAACCCAAGAACAAUAGUGUGUUUUUUAUUCAGCUCCUGCAUAGAAGUUCAACUUGUCAGAAGGUGGAGGAGAAUUAGAAGCUGUAAGAAGAGAACAGAGAGGCAAGUGAAGUUGUUUGUUGUCUUUUGGAGUUGAAGAGCUUUGGAAAUGGUGUGAGAUUGGAUUGUGGGUUUGUGGAUUUUCUAAGGAACACAACUUAAAUUUAGUACAACAUACCAUCCACAAACGGAUGACCAAACAUAAGUCAUAAACGGAUAACCAAACAUAAGUCAUAAACGGGUGCCUUGAGACUUACUUGUGGUGUUUUUCCUCGAAACAAUCAAAAGGGUGAUCCAAAUAGUUGUGUUGGGCGGAGUAUUGUUACAUCACCAAUUUUUAAUCAUAUGUGGGGAAGGCUCUUUUUUAGAUUGUUUAUGGGAGGUUACUACCUGUUAUUCAACAAUUUUUUUACUAGGAGAAACUAAGGUAGAACAGGUAUCACAAUAACUUUCAGACAGAGAUGAAAUGAUAAGGCUAUUGAAGAAUAGAUUGUGUCGAGCUCAAUAGGUCAUGAGUAAAUGUACCAAUAAGCAUUGUAGGAACUUAGAAUUUGGAGUUGGGGAUGCAGUUUUUCUCAAAUUGAGACCACUUAGGCAACAAUCAGUGGCAAACAAGGCAUUUGCAAAGUUAUCUGCCAGAUAUUUUGGUCCUUUCAUCGUUCUAGCAAAGGUAGGAGCUAUAGCUUACAAGCUAAGUCUGCCAAAGGAAUCAUGAAUACAUCUAGUAUUCCAUGUUUCUCAACUGAAACGAGUGGUAGGUAACCAUCAUGUAAUUGUUGCUAUCCCUACUCAUCUAGAGGUGAAUGAAGGACUCUUGGUGGAACCUGAAACUAUUUUACAACACAAGCAAGAUCAAAAGGAAAAAUAAACAGUGGAACAAGUUUUGGUGAAAUGGAAGUGGAAAGGGGUUGAAGAUGCUAUAUUGAUGAAUUUAUCAGACUUCCAGGGACAAUUUCCCUACUUCAGUCUUAAGGACAAUACUGAUUCUCAACAGGAAAGUAAUGAUAAUGCUAGGAAAGUAAUGAUAAUGCUAAGGGCUCAAAAACAAAAAUUUUUAAGGUGUAUUUCAGGAGAAGGGAGAAACAGAAUGCACACAAUUGACAGUCAUACAACUGGCAGAUUUUGAGAAUAAUGGAUACGGACAAGUGGCAGAAAUUAGUUACAAGAGAAGAUUUCUUUCCAGCAUUUAAGAAGGAAUUUGGCAGAGAGAAAGGCAUCCUUUUCAGUAUAUUUUCUCUAGUCGAGAGAGGGCAGAAGGUUAUCUUAUGCACAGGAGAAUAUCAUGCUCUUGAGGGGCUAGUUACAACCAUUUCUUUUCUUUCUUCUUUAUUUUGUGUCUAAGGAGCAAUUUUGUUGAGUUCAUUUUUUUUCUAUUUUUGUUAAGAGACUUGAUUUGUAUUUCCUCUUUAUGAAGACACUCAACCAAUCAAUACAAUCAUUUCAUCCGUAUCUCUAUAGAUUAACUCUCACUCUUUACUCUAUCAAAGCCAUAUAUGUAAAUUUGUAUAUUGUAAUUCUUAUUAUUGAUGGUAAUAAAAUAAUAUAUUUGUUUAAAAAUUUUUUCUCUUUAAUUGUUUAAAAGCCAAAUAAUCUAUCCACCAUACUCUUAUUUAUAAUAUUAGACUCUUUAGUUUAAUUUAAUUAGACAUCUUAUUUAAUUUAAAAAUAAUACAUAAAUAAGAUAUCUAUUUUAUUUAGGCAUCCACCUGUUAAGGAAUAUGUAUCAGAGCCUCUCCAUUGAUGUGUGGCCUCCCUUAAAUAUUUCACGUUUCAGUAAAGUUUUGGGCAUGAAGGGGUGUGUUGAAUCUAUAUUGAUUUGUGUUGACCAAUGUAGAAAGUUCCUAAUUAGGAGGAUUCAGAUUUUUGGGAUCCUAAUUACACUUGAUUAUAUGGCUUGAUUAUAUAGAUUUUAUUCUUAUUAUAAAUAUUCCUAAUUUAUAUUGAUUUUUUGUGUAUAAAUAUUCAAAUCUUGUAAAAAUCAAUUCAAUUGGAAUAAAAUAAAAAAUUCCUCCCAAAAUUCUUCAUGGUGUUAGAGUUUUGCCAACAUUAUUUAGUAUAAGGAUUUAUGGUACUGUUCACAGAGUUAGGAUUUUUAUAGGUCAAGCUUCUAGGCGACUCUAUAGAGGAAGUUAAUUGACACCGCUCAUACCAGGAGAAUACCCAUUGGAUUUUCGACCUUCCUCCGGCGACGUGCCUCCAUUCCGGCCACGCACGUGAGCUCACGUGCCACCACAGACUCUUCGUCAUUUUCACACGCUGGCGGGUAGGUCCUUCUCCGGUGCCCUUUUCCUAUGGUGCUCCUUUUCGACAACCUCCCCUUCAUGUCGCGGCUCUGACCAGCCCAAUCCCAUGCCUUUUUGCCUUUGCUUCUCUAAUGAACAAUAGCUCUUUAUCUAUUUUGACAAAAAAAAGGGUAGUUUUUUUCUUCUUCUUGACAUGGCAAAUAAGAAAAUGACUAGUGUGGAAAAUGUAAGGGUCUCCGAUAAUACUUUCAUUUCAUCUAUUGAUUUUACUUCAUAGAUUAUUGAUUCUGGCGCAGAUAGAUACAUGACAGGCUCCUCUAAAAGUUUCUUUAAUUAUCUUCCAUGUCUAUAAAAGGAUGUUGUAAGAAUAGUCAAUGGUUCUUUUAAUUCAAUAUCUGGAACCGGUUCUAUUGUUUAUACUCUCAAUAUCAAGCUAUCCUCUGUUUUUCAUAUUUCUUGUUUCUCUAUUAGCCUUUUAUCUAUUAGUGCUCUCACCAAAGCACUUAACUGUAAAAUUAAAUUUUUUUCCUGACCAUUAUGUUAUUCAGGACCUUCAAUCUGGAAAGAAGAUUGACAAUGGUAGACUGUACGAUAGCUUAUAUAUGUUGAAAGGAAAUCUGAGUUUAAAUUCACCUCGAACUCUUUUUUGAAGAAAUCAGGAUGUCAACUAGGAAAUCAUAUAAUGGCAUUGACGGUUAGAACACUCAUCCUUCUUUAUUUUAUGAUGCUUCUGAGUAUGCUAAGCAUAUAAAAACCUUUUAUCCCUCCAAUAAUAAUAGGUGUACGAUCCCUUUUGUGACCAUCCAUUCUGCUAUUUGGGGAUCUACUCAAACGGUCUCACUAUUUGGUAAUUAUUGAUUUGUUACUUUUAUUAAUUACUGCACUUGCAUGACUUGGGUUUAUUUGAUAAAGACAAAGAGUAAUGUGGUUUCUUGCUUUCAAUUUUUUUACAAGAUAAUUUAUACUCAAUUUGAUGCUAAGAUAAAAGUUUUGAGAACUGAUAAUGGUACAGAGUACAUGGAUGACCAUUUUUCUGCUUAUCUAGAGUCUAAUGGAAUACUGCAUCAAACUAAUUGUCCUUACACUAGUGCCCAAAAUAGUAUUGCUAAAAGAAAAAAUAAGUACCUGUUGAAAGUAGCCCGAUCUCUCCUUUUCACUAAAAACCUAUUGAGGAGAUACAAUAUUAGUGACAGCCUAUCUCAUUAAUAGAAUGCCUUUAAAAGCCCUUUAGAGAUGCUAUAAGGAAAAAAUGCUUAUACUGUUUUAUCAAAGGUUUUUAGAUGCACGUAUUUUGUUCAUACUAUGACAGGUGGGAAGCUCGAUUCGGGAGCUCUUAAAUGUGUGUUUGUUGGAUCCUCUCCCAUACAGAAGGGUUACAAAUAUUAUCACCCUCCAUCUAAAAAAUAUUUUAUAAGUACGGAUGUUACUUUUAGAGAAAGACUAAAUCUUACUUCAGUACUACCCUAUCACAUCUUCAAGGAGAGAACAAUGAGAGAGAAGAGAUAAUUUCUAGUCCUAUAACUCUAGUGCGUUUUACUCUAAAAGAGACUAUUAUAUAGAGAGAGACUACUAGUGAUCAGAAAAAGAUAAUUGGGCAUUUGGAUAAACCAGAUUUAAGGAGAUACUUAAAAAGAGACACAACUGAAGCAGAAAAAGCUAUUGUGCAACCUACUCAAUGUCAUGAACCUUCCUCUUCUACAUUUGGUGAGUCAUCCCUAAAUUUUGAGCUCAUUAAUGAUCUAUAUAAAUUAAUUGCUCAAAGAAAAGAAGUUAGGUCUUGCACAAAGUACUCUAUUUCUAACUUUCUCUCUUAUGAUUCUUUAUCUCCAUCCUAUAAAGCCUUUACCUUGUCUAUUUCCUCUGUGUCUAUCCCAUAGGAUUGGAAUGAAGCUCUUAAGGAUUCUAUUUGGAAGGGAGCAAUGAUUAAAGAAAUGAAAUCCUUGACAAAAAAAAAUGAGACCUAGGAGUUUAUAUCUCUUCCACCUGAAAAAAAACCAGUUAGCUGCAAUGGGUGUUCACUAUGAAACACAAAGCAGAUGGAUCAAUUAAAAGAUUUAAAGGCAGACUAGUUGCUAAGAGAUACACUCAAACUUAUGGAGUGAAUUACUAGAAGACAUUUGCCCCUGUUGCUAAAAUGAAUUCAAUCAGAAUAUUGUUAUCUUGUGUUGCCAAUCUUGACUAGAACCUAAAAUAAUUUGAUGUGAAAAUUGCAUUCCUCCAUAGAAACUUAGAGGAGGAAGUGUAUAUGGAAAUUCAUCCUAGAUUUGCUAAUAAAAAAUACAAGGAAAGGUGUGCAGGCUAAAGAAAGCUUUGCAUAGGUUGAAGCAGUCACUCAUAACUUGGUUUGAUCGAUUCAGUAGAGCUAUAAUUUUCUUUGCCUAUCAACAGAACAAUACUGACUAUACCCUAUUUAUCAGACAUCAUAAGGGUAAAAUUACUGUUCUCAUUGUCUAUGUUCAUGACAUAGUAAUGACAGGGGAUGACACUGAAGAGAUGACUCGACUGCAAAAGCUUUUGGCUAAGGAGUUCAAAAUUAAAGAUCUAGAAAAUUUUCAAUAUUUCUUGGGAAUCGAGGUUGUCAGAUCAAAGAAGGAAAUAUUUAUUUCUCAGAUAAAAAUUUUUUUAGAUCUUGUAGAAGAAACUAGUAUAUUAGGCUGCAAAUUAGCAGAAACUCUCAUUGAGAGAAAUCACAAACUACAAGCACGGAUUAGUGAAUCAGUAGAUAUUGGCAGAUAUCAGAGGUUGCUAGGCAGACUGAUUUAUUUUUCGCAUACUCGAUCAGACAUAGUAUAUGCAAUCAGCUUAGUCAGUCUAUGUAUGAUUCUCGUGCAGUGGAUAUUGGCAGAUAUCAGAGGUUGGUAGGCAAACUAAUUUAUCUUUUGAAUAUUUGACCAAACAUAGUAUAUGCAGUCAGUUUAUCUAUGAUUCUCGUGAGUCUCACAUGCAAGCUGUUUUUCCCAUUUUAUAAUACUUGAAGUCUGCUCCUGAAAAAGGUCUCAUAUUCUCUAAACACUGUCAUCUCAAUAUACAUGUAUUCACAAAUGCAGAUUGGGCUGGAUCCCUUGAUGAUAGGAGAUCGACUAUUGGUUACUGCACACUUGUCGGAUGAAACCUUGUCACUUGACAAAAUGUUGUUGCUCGAUUAAGUGCUGAGGCAGAAUAUAGAGUGAUAACACAAUGUGUUUGUGAACUUCUACGAUUGUAGAGAUUGUUGGAGGAAUUGAAACUGUUGGAAGGGACAAACUCCUCUUGUACUGUGAUAAUAAAGUUACCAUCAGUAUAGCUCACAAUCCGUUUCAACAUGAUAGAACAAAGUACAUAGAAAUUGAUUGAUACUUCAUUAGAGAGAAGUUAAUAAAUGAUAUUUUGAGAUUAAAUUAUGUAACUUCCGAUAAACAGCUAGCUGAUAUGUUUACCAAAGGGCUAAGUAACAAGACCUAUCACACUUUGGUUUGCAAGUUGGACAUAUGUGAUAUUUAUAUACCAACUUGAAGGGGGAGUAUUGACCAAUAUAAAAAGUUUCUAAUUAGGAGGAUUCAGAUCUUUGGAAAUCCUAAUUAGACUUGAUUAUAAGAAUUUUAUUCUUAUUGUAAAUAUUUCUUAUUUUGAUUGAUUCUGUGUAUAAAUACUCAAACCCUAUAAAAAUCAAUUUAAUUGGAAUAGAACAAAAAAUUUCUCCUAAAAUUUUUCAGUUUGGAAUAGGGGUAAUAUGCCUCUUAUAAGAGUCUUAAGCACUUCUCCCUAUAGUUUCAAAUCACAGUCGUGAUCGCAGGUAAUGGAAACAUGCCUGUAAUGAUCAUAACGUAACGAUAGCGGGCUGUUGCAGUGUAAUUUUUUUAAAAAAAUUAUAAAGUUCAUGAAAUUAAAAUAUAUUUAAAGAUAUAAUCAAAAUUAAAUUAUACAACUUAAUAAAAUCUAUAAAUUUUUAAAUAUUAUAUAUAGUAAAUUGCCUCAAUUACCAUCAGAACGAGCGUCUACCAAGUUAUUGAGUAAAAAUUUAAGUAUAUAGACCGCUUUCGAAAAAUUUAAAGAAAUCUGUUUUUUACUGGAAAUAAGCUGAAAGAAGUAUGGAACUCUGUGCUGAGGAGCUGGAGAGAUUACUGGACUGCUUGCUAGUUGUGGCAAAGACAAAGUCAUAACGAAGAAUAGAGAAAUCAUAAAAAACCAUAAAAAAUCACUUUCAAUAAUUCAAUUUUCACAUGAUAAAGACUAGUGCUGAGUGGAUAAAAAAAACAAUUGUUAUACUGCUCUAAAAGAUUCCUAAAUUCCAACUGCUGUAAUGAUCGGAUGUGGUUUUAUUAUUAUUUAAAGGCCUUAUCAGUCACGACAUGCUUGUAAAACUGUACAUAACUAUCAUUAUAUUACGUAACUGUUGCUAUUUAAAAUAUGCACUUUCUCUUGAUUUCUUGACCUCUUGACUUAAUUUUGAUCUAAUUUUUUAAGUGAAUUAGAACUAACCUAAAUUUAAUAAUAACCUUAAUUAUUAUAUAUAAUUUUAGCUCCUAAUUAAGCACAUAAUCUCUAUAAUUAUGGUCUAUUUAAGGCAAGCAUCUUAAGAAUAUUAGUAACGUCAUAUAUAUGUAUAUGUAGUUUAAUAGUAUAGGUUACCUUUUACUGCAAGUAUUCAUAAUUUAAUGUUAUCAUUUACUUUUCUUUUUUAUUUUUUUAAUAUAACUUCACAUAAGUACAUUAAAUUUAUAUGAUUAUAUCUGUAUAACAUAUUUUUACUUAUUAAUUAUAUAUGAAUCUUUUAAUUUAACUAUAUAAUUGAGAAAUGUACAAAAGAAAUAUGAUAUUUUUAUUAAGAGCUAUAUAUAUAUAAUAUAUUUUUUAAUAUUAAUAACAUGCCUAUCAUUAUUGUUAAUUUGACGUCAAAAAUUUGAGAUUAUUUUUACCAUUUUAAGUAAUAUACAUAUAUAUAAGAAUGUGAUAAUUUUAUAUGUAACUGAUUAUAAAUAGAAUCAGAAUCCAACUAGAAUUGAGGAAAAAGAGAAGCAGACAUUUUAUUUUAAUUAGCGAGGAAAUCAAUCGUUUCAUUUCAAGAUCACAUCAAUAACAUAUAGAUCACAAUUUGCAUUAGUAUGUUGGAAUUAUCUGAUUGUUAUCAAUCUAACUCUAUUUUGCAAGGUGGCCCACCGUCAACAACGAUUAAAAGUUCUUAUGAGUAUCAUCUACGGAGAUUGUGCUGCAUUCAACCAAAAAUCACCGGAUAAGAUGCAAUGCCCCACAUAAUAUGCCUUGUGUCACUAAUGGUUCAAAACAAUUACCAACCCAGAAUAUUCAAAGGAUGCAUGAGUAGGAAAAAGACAAAGCAAGCAGAGUUCAAAGAAAAUUGAAAAUCCAUGCGUAUAUUUUAAGUACUAUAGUAAUUCUAGUCCCUAUGUGUUAAAAGUUGCCUCUUCCAUGUAUGUUAACAAAAUGGAUUUUCUAAAAGCUAAACAUAGUCCGGUUACUUCCAAAACCUAACUCAAAAGAAGAGAAAUGCUCAAGAUUUUAUAAGAAGUAUAUUAUCUCUAUAUCAAAUCUAUGUAGUUCAACACACACUCAGAACCAAAUGAAGCAUAAAAAUUUGUGGAAGGCUAAACAUUAAAUAGAAACUAUGAUACUAUUUUAAGAAAAUUGAUCAUGUUUAAUUCACCUAAAAAAUUAAUCAAAAAAUUAAUAAUGUUUAAUUCAUUUAAAAAAUUAAUUUAGAUAAAAAAAUAUUUAAAAUUUUAUAAAGAGCACAUUAGUUUUAUCCCACGUAAAUGGAGAAUUGAACUGUAUAAUUUAUUUAUAAUUAUCACUUUUCUGCCAUGUUUAAAUUAAUUGUGUGAUCCUCUAUUUAACUUUAAGAAAUAAGUAUUUAUAUGAAGUAUAUUUGUUCAUCAAAAUAAAUCAUCACGCUACCUAACUUAUUGGUGUAUGAACUGUUACUUGCUAUAUUUAUCCCUUGUAAUAACUUAUAGAUGGAUUUUGUUUUUGUAUAUAUAUAUAUCAUAAAAUUCAUCAUUGUGUUGGUUUCUUUAAGUAUAUAUGUUUCAAAACAGUUGAUACAUUUUGAAAGAGUACUAGUUACGUAGUUUAACUUAAUAAUUUCACUAGAAUAACGAGUAUAAUUUCCCUACAAACGCAACAGUUAAAUAACCAGAAAUAGAUAAAGCAACUUGCCAUCACAUCACAUGGCCCUCUCCAAAUAAUAACAAUUAAAAUUCUUGUCACCGCUUGUGAUCAGAACUUGCACUGAACAUUGCCAACGUCAUCACUUGAAAGUUGGCAUUUAAGUAUUUUAAUAGUUCCCUCUUAUGGCAAGCUCCGUACUAGUUAUGAAGCACAAAAGCCUGUUUCAUGCCCCUAUUCCGAUACUUAUUUUCCUUAUCUUCCCAUAUAAUAUUUGUCAUCGGAUGGUGCAUCUUUGCAAGGACAAGAAACUGUGUCCCACCUAUUAAACAAUUGUAGGAACUGGGUCUGAUGUGGUUGCAUGUUCUAGCCAUGGCAUUGUAUAAGCAAAGGUUUUAUUAUUACAAGAGGAUAACGCUUCUCCAUAUUAAAUGAAUAAAGCACUGCAUUUGGAAGAUAACGGGACCAUUUUUGCUCCUUUAUCUAUGACGACUCAGCUGACUCGUUUGAGGCAGUCAAUCCAGAAAGAGGGUACAUAGCCACGUGGUCUAAGACCAAACCCAUCCCUCUCAUCUCCAACCCCCGAGGCUGAUAUGACACGAUAUCAUGACUGGGAGACUCUCAUUUAGUCCAAAAAAAAAGAUUAAUUAUUUCGGGCUUGUCUUAGGAGGGGCAAUGAUUUUGACACCACUUGACAUUUAACUAGUGCUAUAUUGCAAUCCCUAUAUUUCGUGCUUUUAAAUGCAUUAUAAAAUGUAAAAGCAGAAACCAAUAAUUCAAUCUACUGUUAAGAAGGUAAAAAUUAAAGGGAGAACACAGUUACUUCACUUCAUUGUAGUCUUUUAACUUGUAUGCUAACCAAUUUAGAGUCUAAGGCUAUGGAAUUUUAGGCGGAAAUAUGAUUUUUUUUUUUCUCUUUUUUGGCCUUUCGUCCCUUUUGGAAAGUAAAGAGAUACCUAGCCUAUGAAUUAGAUCAUCCUCGGAUUUUCCAUAUUUUUGUGGAAGCCGCAAUAUUCUAAUUAUGUAAAGAUCUAAAGAUUUUCUUUAAAAUUUUUCAUCAGUAGUGUAUUUUUAUAUCACUUCAUGUAUAUUGAAAUUAAUUUUUUUUUUAAUAAUUUUAAAGAAUUAUUUCACUUCCAUUAUAUUUAAAAUAAUUAUAUGAUGUCAAAACGCUACUGUAUAAAAAAGGAAAUUCUAUUUUUAUUUUUUAUUUUUAUUUUAUUUAGUAUGUGAGGUGACAAGACUAAAGAUGGGACAUUCAAAGCUGAAUUGUAAUGUAUUCAAUUCAGAUCCAUGAAUUGUAUUUGAACAUAUGAUUCAUGUUUACUCCUCAUCAAAUGCUCUCUUUUUAAUUUAACCCGGAUAGUUGUUGUUUUUACCUCUCUUUUUUUUUUAUCUUAUCCAAUUCUUCAAAUUCUUCGAAAAAAAAAAUUCAAAUUCAGUUCACCGCCAGCCAAUAAAAAAUAAGUAUGUUCACUCAUCUCUCUCAUUUAUUUUUCUUUAAUUUAAUAAAUAUAGAUUUUUGAAAAUCUAUUAAUAGAUAAUGUGUUCAUUUAGAGUACAUUUUUACACUUAUUUGUGAUAGUCUUUGUUGUUUUUCAUGAGAUUUAUUGAUUUUUCCACAAUGGAAGUUUUAAGGUUUCUUAUGUAUUUUAUCUUCUUAAGGUAAAUAGAAUUAUCAUUAAUAAUCAUACUAGCACCACUUGAAGGAUCUAACAUUGUAAUUAAUAAGUUCAAGAAAAGAAACUACAUAUUCUAGCAUAUAUAUUAGCUCCAUUCACCACCUUUCUCCCCUUUACAAUUGAUAAACUCCAACCCCACAGUAUUUCAUCCAGUGCUAAUCACGAGCAACACUUGAACUAUUGUAAAAACUACCAGAAAAUUUUUAAAUCGUGGCACUAGACCCUAAGUUGCCUAUCAUUCUAGUUUUUUUAUUUCUUUAAAUUCAUGACAAACAAUUUCACAGUAGAAUGUUCGGAUGUUAGUUCUUAAAAUAUAUUUCUAGGAAGUCAAUAAAGGGGACGUAUAUAUUUUCAAGAUUUUGAUAUUUAAUGCCUAUAUAUGAAUAUAUGAAAUGGAGAUGAUAUUCUUUGUAAUGUCAAGACAAAUCGUAAAAUUUCGCAGUCGGGUACAAAAACCAAAAAAUUCCUAUUUUGCAGUUUACUAGGGCCGUACAAAAAUGGAAGAGAUUUCUACACAUUUAUUAAUCAUUGUGCUUCCUUCCCCUAGCCAAAAUCUUCAGAUAUUAGUAAUAUUACUAAAAUAGAUAUUCGUCAUAUCUCUAUCAAAAUGUAGCAUAUUCCUACAGUCUUUACCCGCAGAAUGGCUAGGUCUAAAUUCAGCAAGAAACAAACUUGAAAAGCUACCUAAACCGUCAGAAAGAUUUGCUUAGGCUUAUUGAAGGAUCCGGGAUAAAAGCGUUAAGCAACGAACAUUCGGAUGGACAAAAAUGCUCAUGUUCAAGAACUAAAAUACUUGGAUAAAAAUAAAACUGCAGCCUACUAUGGAUCUAUGAAUAGUUCUGAGAUUAGUAUAAUCCACAAUAAGUUGUUGACUAUAACAAAUUGAAGAAGUGAAAAGACUGCUCAGGAGUUAGAAUAUGCAUAAAGCAGUGACAGUGAAUACAUAAUCAAUUUCGAUAGAAUUGUUGGGAAAUGCAGCAAUGCUUUAUAGAACUCAAAUUUGAAACCUCCAAGCUUACGAAACUCAUCAACCGAAGAAUCUACUGGUGAUAUCUGGCUAGCUAGCCGCUGACAAAUGAACUAAUCAAUGCCCGUAAAUUCCAGAAUGUUGGACUCCAUCUCUAUAUAUAUAUCAUGACGAAAAGUUCCCACCUAAAAAUAUCUUCUACUAUGUAUGAUCUACCAUUUGAAAGUUUAAAUUAUCCUAAACAUAUAAUUAUCCAAAAUGCUCACUCUCCUAAACUCUCUUCCCCUUAAACAUAUAGGGGAAAAAAGAUGAAAAGUAGAUAAAUAUCAAAUAAUAAUCACCGACAUAAGAUAAGCAUCCAUGCAUAAGCAAAGCAAAUUAAAGUGACGCCCACGAUCUUUUGGAUAAUUAAUC
rnacentral:lncRNA from 1 species